CGUCUCCUCCCCAGUAGCCGCGUGGGGCAACCCCCAUCCCCUCCGUGGCUUGUGGGAGAGACGAACAGCAAGGGCUAGAGGACCGUCGUCAUGGUGACCAGCAGCCCUGGGUUGCCAUGUUUUCCUGCCUCUUACAAGC